GAUAUGCAAAGUCUCAUCUUUGGAGACAUGAAUGUAAAAGGAGGCACAUAAAAGCGUGGCCACUGGAGAAAGGGACCCGCGCAGGUGCCCGCCGCGGCCCAUGGGCCUGGAGCAUCUUCCUCUGGAGCCUCAUUAUCCUUUCAUCUUCCCAACGCCGAGUCGUCCCCGUAAUGGCUCCCAUCAUCCUCGUGACCACGGAUCAGAGUCCUCUCGGGGUUUGGAGAAUUGGCUAAAACAAGGGCCCGAUCAUUUCCCUGGAGAAAUGGAGGACGCUGUGGAGUGCAGGGAGACCUGGCUGGAAGGAGGCGGCAGGUGAGGACUGUCACCAGCAACAGGCCACCAGAGGAGCAGGGUCUUGGCUCCGAGGCUGCAGCCUGGCCGCUGUCCCGUGCUGACUUCCCGGCCCUGGUAAAGCGAAGCGCCUUGAAUGCACCUUGACAAGGUCUGUCUCUGGGCUCCUGCUGGCCUGCACACGCCCAGCCUCCUCCACGCCUGCCCCUGGGCAUUCAGGGCACUGGAGGCUCUGCACAGCUCCAGGUGGGCCACCUGAGCAGGAGCCGAGGGGGCAGCAGGAAUGAGCCACUCGCCUGAGAGUGAGGAGCUUGUGCCCAGGGCUAAGAGGGCCCAGAGGACAGUCCAGUGGAGUGCCCAAGGGCAGGGAGUGGGCAACCCCUCUGAUCAGGGCUUGCCCUGGCUUCUGGGAGCACAAGUCUGAGCUGUCCUUAAAAGACAGACACACGGGUGUCCCUGAUCCCCACUGGGAGGCCAGAGCCCUGGGAGAAGGCCAGGCUGGGCGGCCAGGGGGAGCUGGGACCAGGCACAAACCAAGGCGCGGCCACCAGGAAAGGCCAGUCAAGCCCGAGCACCAGGGACUGAACUCAGAAGGAAAGCUUCCGAGGGCAGCAGAGCCGUGCCGUGGGGAAGAGCAUGGGGAAGAGCGUGGGGAAGAGCAUGGGGCUGACACUCCUCCCGUCCCAGGAGCCUGCGAUGCAGGGGCAGCUCCUGUCAGAGCUGCACACACCCGGGAAGGGGCAGAAGAGGGCGAGUGAGGGUCCUUUCCCACAGGGGCGUGCUCCCCGGGGAUUUGUGGAGCAAUGGCUGGAAUGAAGAGCAGACAUCCUGCGUCCGGCCCCCACAGCUGUGUGACCUGGGCAAGUUCUCUGAUCUCCUUCAGCCUCAGUCUCCUUGUCUGCAAAAUGGCCACCGGGAAUAGUAGGUCUCCCGCAGGCAUCCUCGGGGUUACGGGAGUUAAAACACAGAGCGGCUCAGGACGGGAGCCCGCCUGCGUGACCAGGAGACACUGGGUCCAUGAUAACGGGCUGCAGUCUGGCUGGGCACAAAUCACGAGCCACUCCAGCAGGAACAAACUUUAUUUCCGAACUCCACCAGCACACUCCACACACGCUCCCCGGGAACUCUCCCGAACCACCCAGGUGGCUCCUCCAGGAACACACCCCACACCAACCGGAAAUCCCACCAGGAACUUCCCCAACCAAAGCGGACUCCUCAGGAAUCCCCGCCAGAGCUCAAGCGGAACUCAAGGGGAACUCCGCCAGAACUCAAAAGGCAUCAUCUUAAUGGCUCCCGGCGUCACCUCUCAACCACGACUUCUGGCAAAAAUGCCCUGCGUCAUCCAGACUGGCUGUGGCCCUCAACAAACAUGAAAAGCUGUUGUCAUUAACAAUGACCGGAAGCUCCGUAAAGGUCCUAUUCUUCCUGAGGACCCGUAAGCUCCCAGCCUUCUCUCCUGCUCCCGGUAAACUCGGCUCUCUGCUGGUCUAGCUGGGGACGCAUCUCUGAGCUGAGCGGGCUGGCGGCUGGCUCUCACCUACCACUUCACACCCCGGCCACGCCAGCUCCAGGAGUCCAGGCUGCAGAAAGCUCACGGGUGGCACAAGGCCCCACGCGUGGAUGUCCCUGUAGCAGCCAAACCUGGAAGCAGCUGAGACCCCAUGGAGAGAGGGGGAUAAGUGGGCUCUGCUCUGCAGCCUGGGGAAGCCCCCGCAGCACGGGGAAGGGUGGCAGGGACCCAGUGGCAGCUGGGGAGCAGGGUGCCUGCUGUGCGACUUCUGCUGCGUAGACACUUGCACCAGGACACACCUCACCCCUCAACAGGAUGCCACUGCAAACCCCACAGUCGCUCUCGCGGCCAGCACGGGCGGCUCUGCGGCUCCAGCUGGACGGAGAGGCCCUGGAGGGCGCGUCCCGAGGGCAGCAGGCUGGCCCCAGGGCUGCCCACCCCAUGCUCUCCUGUAGCACCCUCCCAGCCCAGGGGGCCCACAAGAGGGCUCCCGUGCAGAUGGGCGUGCCCUCCUGUCACCUGACGCCUGGCAGCUGGCUGGGACAGGUCAGAAGCCACUGCUCGGGAAGCUAUCGAGGUGCCACGUGACCUCUGACACCACAAAUCAGCACUGCCCUGUCCACGGGCUUCUUAAGGGCGAGCUGGUGUGGGGUGGGACUCCCACAGCAGGGCACGGUCCCCAGGGCCUUCCAAAAAUGCCCAUGUGCCUGCAGCACUCGGUCUGUUCUCCAACCCCCUCCACUCCAGACCCCGUGACCUCUCACCCGGGGGAAGCAGGUCAGCUCCUGCAGCCUCAGCACAGAGCCAACCCCUCCCCUUGGUCCUCGGGCCACCCCCCUCUCUGCAGCCAUCUCUGCCGCCUCUCCUGGGAGAAGCCCCGCCCCCCUAGAGAGCACCUGCAGAUUGAUUCCUCCAUCAGCCAAUAGGAAGCCGCCCUGCCCCUCAGAGCCCAGGUGGUGACAAAUCCCAGAGUCCGGCUGACCAGAAGCUGCAUGGCCUCCCAGAUCUCUCUGGAUGCUCUCUGAGGCAUUAUGGAAGGACGAAGGAGGGCCCCUUGGGGUGAGGGAGACUGGACAAGCAGGGCAUGGCCUUCAGGGUUGUGCCUUGGGAGCUCCACCUGGCCACAUGGCUGCUGAACCCAGACGCGCGUCUCUAAGUGAAGGUCUGGCUGUCCCCCCAACACGCUGGGACCCGGCCCAGAGCCAGCGCUACCCCGAGGGGCCGCAGCCCCCACUUCCCCAGCUCCAAUGGACAGGGCAGGGGGGUCUCCCUAGCCAGGGGCUGGGUGCUUCUGCCCCUCCCUGGGUGCUCACUAGGAGUCAUGAGGCGAGGGCUCUCUCAGACGCUCAUCGCAGCCUCCCUGCUCUCCCCUGCCCCAGGCCUGGUGGCCCCAGCUGCAGCGCUGGUGGAGUUUAGCACACGGCCUCAGCUGUGGGCCCAGGAGAACCUGCCGUGGCCCUGAACAAGGGUCCCUACUCCAGCUGUGGUGGCCACCUCUGGGCAAAGUGUUCUGUAGUAUUUGGGGCUUCUCGCGACGCCAGACAGGGACAGGUGUGUCCUGGGGUUGGUGGCCAUGUUUGCAGGGCACAGACGUCUAGGCCACAGACCAGCAGCGUGGUCCUGGGCUACCAGCAGCAGACUGCGGUGCAGUGUGGACAGGGCUCACCUCAGCCCGUCCCACGUCCCCCAAGCAGCACUCCAGAGGCCAGCACAGCUGCUCCUGGGAAGGUGGUCCCCCUCCCAGAGCAGCAUCUUGUGCGAGAGUACAUUGACAGGAUAAUUUGAAAGACAACUUAUUGAAUGCGUAGUCACAUUUGUCAAAUAAACAGUCAACAGCAGUCUGCUUCCUUUCAGCCCCUGGGCGCCCGCCCCACAGGCAGAAUGGACUAGGGUUUUCCCUGCCGAAAUCCUGGACUUCAGGCGAAAAGCUGGAGCUCGCCACCGGCACAAAUUUGAGGAAGAGAAGUUUGUCUUCCAAAUGUGUCACCCAGCAUUCCGCAGCUUUCCCUAGGCAUCUGUCUGCCUGUCCCCAUGCUGCCAAGUCCAGCCCUGGGUCACUCGCCCUUCUGGCCAGAUGAGGGUGCACUGGCCCGGCACACUCCCUGGGUGUGCAGAGAUGUGCAUCUGGCAUGCCCCUGUGUCACCUGCCCUCCACAACAGGACCUCCCCUGGCCUGGUGCCACAGCCAUUGGACAGGCACGUUCCAGGACCAGAGGCCGACAUGGACCAGAGGCCAUGGAACUGGCCACAGCAGCCCCAGCAGCUCACCCCUGCUGAGGACAGAGCCUCCUGCACCGUGUGCCUGGGGGACGAAGGUGACACAGGCCUAGUGGGGAGGGAUCCUGAGUGCUUCCGAGUGCUGGUAGGUGGCGUGGAUGGAGCUGCAGAGGAAAGGACAGGCCCAGCCGGGCAGGAGGGCAAGCUCCUGCCAAGUGACUUGUGACCUCCGUCCUGCUGAUGGGGUGCCCGGUUCCUGUCCCCACCCUGUGUUGAGGUGGACCCCACCUUGACCUCUGGUGUCCUUGCUUGGUUCCCAGGACUCUGCUCCGACAGACCCACUUGGUCAGUUCCUGCCCCAUCCCCACACCCACUGGCCCGAGGGCUGCCCACAGCCGGCCUGGCCUCUUCUCUGUGGGUCCCAUCAGCUAAACAAGCCAUGGGUGUGGGUGACAUCCAGGUGGCCCUGAACGGGGACUCACACGUCACCUCCCUACUUAUCCCCCUGGGGCUGCCCCAGGGACCUCUGUGACCCGGCUCUGGGUCUCUGCAAUCCGUGGCCCUGUGCUCGUCCCCCCCAGGCACCAGGAGCUCAGCCCACAGCUCGGGCACCACACCUGAGGAGCUUCCUCGCCGCCAGCCCUGGGCGCUGCUCCCCGCUGCAGCUCUGCCCAGCACUGGAGCCAGGCCGUCCCGUCCCUUAGAAAUCCAGCUCAUCCUGCUCCCCUCCGCUCCCAGCUCCUCCGCGCUUCCUUCCCCAGGGACAGCUGGCCUAAGGUCCCCUCCCGCCAUCUGACCUAACCUCUGCCCUGGGCUGGGCUGCUCAGCGGCUCUCAUCUGGAGGACCUGGGCUCCUUGGGGCUUCUCGGACACUUGGGCCACACUCUUGGGGCCGGGCCCUGGAGCACCCUGCUGGCACCCCGGGACUCGGGACCCCACCCUGCACGCUCCUUCUCUUCCUAGGAUGCAUGGUCCCACAGAACCCUCCAUAAUACCUCCUUGUGGAUUACUCCCCCAUCACCCCAGAACACAGGCCGCAUAAAGGCACGGCUUGUCCUGUCCCUGUCCCCACACCGUCCCCUGCAGAAAUGCCUGGCGCAUGCCGGGUGCUACGUGUGGAGUGACCUGAGGAGGCUCGGGCGUGUGAAGCCCGGGGUCCUUCAGGGCAGUCGAGUGCUGGGGGCACCGAGGCCAAGGGCGCUCUGAGGGACGGUGACAGGUGUACCAGGAGAAAGCCAGGUGACAAGGGCUCAUGUCCCAGGCCUGAGUGUCACCCCCAGGAGCAGAAGUGGCCUGAAUUGAAGGCAUGGCGGUAUUUACACCUUGGACCCCUCUGUGCACAGCGAGAGACCCCGACCACAGAGCGUGAGACUCACCCACUGGAGAAACAGACGGAAAACAGAGACACCUGACCACUGGCAGGACACAGGGCCGCUGCUCAUCGACCCUCCUUUCCUCGUCCACCCGCCCACCCACAGGCUCCGCACUCCACCUGCCCUCCUGCCCUUCCGGUUCCCUUCAUCCUUCAAGUCCUGCUCCCCAGUAAAAAGAACUGUCCCGGGGAGCUUCCUGGGUUGCUCCCCGAGGCUGGCCUCAAGGUCGCCCCCAGGGCUGGCCAUCCCUCUCCCUCAAAGGAAAUAGACAGAACCGGGCCAGUGGCUGUGGUGGACCCUCCCAGGUGUUCCCCAAACGCUCUGGUCCAGCCUGCGCUGCCCGUAGGGUGAAUUGCAAUGACCUGUUGUGUUGUUUCCUUCCCAGAGCUCCGAGCUCACCAGGAGGAGGCUGCACCCCACUCACUAGACACCAGCACCUCCCUCAGCCGGGCAUGCAGGACCUCAGGGUGUGUUGGAUGAACACAUAGUGGAAGGUCGA